CUGCAUGUAAAUCUGCUCGCUGAGUCCAUCUGACAGUUAAUGGCUGGUGACACUCCUGAGGCUCCCUGGGUCCUUUGUUGAACAGAAGCAGUGGGGAGGGACCUUCUGACGAACAAUGUCCCUGCCCUUCUCUGUACCUGUGAGUCAGCUCUGGUGAUGGUGCAGGAGUCCACUAGGAGAUAGCAGUGGGAGGCGACAGCCUACGGAGCCAGGGCACAGGCCACGCCCGUCGUCACUCCUUGGUGCUUUUAAAACACUGACCAUACUUGUUCUUGAAGUCUGUAAGUUUUUGUUUUUCCUAUUUUAGGCAAAAAAGCAGUUACAAGAAGUGCAACAUAAUCAGAUACUUAAAUCUCUUAAUCGUUUAGGAAUCUGUAAAGAGGUGAAUUGAGCUGGGUUCAUAGUUAUAAUUACUACAGAUGUUUAGCCAGAGUCUACGCCAGUCCACUGCUGUAGUGUGUACAGCACCCCUGGACUUGGAGGCUGAAUGUUUGCACUUUAGAUGCAUUCAGAGUCUGGCAGUUGUGUGUGGUUCGGAAUGCUGAGUCCUUUCUGGGUUCACGUGAAAGCUGACAGCCUAGGGAGCCAGGGCACAGGCCACUCAACGUCAUCGCUCCUUGGUGCUUUUAAAAUAAUGGCCAUACUUGUUCUUGAAGUUUAGAACUUUUCGUUUUUCCUAUUUUAGGCAAGGCAGAGAGAAAAAAUGAAUGGAAAAUGUAAUAAAAUCAGACAUUGUUGACAAGCUUCUUUCAGAAUCUAACAAGAGGCUUCAGCUUCAUCAUAAAUGGCUGCUCGGGCAGAGAAGGUGCCCAGCACAGCGUCCCCGAAGGCCCCUUUACAAAGAGAGUGCCACUGGUCAUGUCCAUGCCGCAGCGAAGAUCCCCCGUGCUGCAACUGAGACCUGGCGCAGCCAAAUAAAUAUUUAAAAUAUAUAUAUAUAUAUCUCCACUGUAGCGUUAGGAUUUACGUUCAGGAAGGUAUCUUGGACUUCCCUGGAUCUUGAGAAGGAUUUUGUAGCAGUUAAGAACUAAAGAACUAAACAUAUGCAGAGAGCAGCUCCUUGAAAGAGAAAAAGAAAUCGCUGAACUGAAAGCGGAAAGGAACACCACCAUCUGCAGCUCCUUGAAAGAGAAAAAGAAAUCGCUGAACUGAAAGCGGAAAGGAACACCACCAGGCAAACAAGGCCGUUUAAGGAUUCUUUCCGUUAGAGGUCUUCUGAUGGUUCUCAUGAGGAAGACCCGGCCAAAGUGCCCGAGCUCCGGGAAAUCUCAGACGAGCAGAGAGCAGAGCCAGAUGAAGGAGCUGGACGCCCGGCCGCCUUCGGUACUCACGUGACAGAGCGGGAGGAAGGUCUGUACACGGCCGGAGAAGACCUCAUCGUAUCUGAGGAAGUGAACACGAAAUUGCAAUGAGAUGUUUGUGAGCUGGUAUGUCAGAGACAGAAAACUCAUCUCCAGAUGUCUUGGGCCUCAGCAAAUUGGGAGGACAGGCUGAAAACAAUGAUAAGCUUCCAAAAAAACAAGAGUCUUUAGAGGUCGAUCCUGAAAGUGGAAAACAGGCUGUUUAAUGCUUGCAAUCAACACACCCCCUUCCUGAGUCACCACCACACACACAGGGAAGCCCUCAGCAUGUGGAACAGACGGUCCUCUGCUGCCCACCGUCCCAGGAGGGACUCAGGACAGAAAACUCCACACAGAGACCAAUAAGAUUGUUCCUUGCAUUACCAAGUGUGUGACUGAGCCUCCAGUAAAAAUGAUGACUAGGUGACUUGAAACAAGUGACCAAAUCUAUAGUCUUAUAAGACCAAUGAUUUUAAUAGUGUAACUCUACAUAUGGGAAGAAGCAACAAGAGAGAACCAGCAACAAGAGAGAACCAUUUCCUGGACCACAACAGACUGGUGGAACACCACGCAGAGGCCUUUGGCUACUGUUGCAUUAGGGGCAGGGCGCGUGCGGGGCGUCGCCGGUGCAGUGUGGCAGUGGCCCUGUGGCCACAGUCUCCUCGGGUCGCAGUCCAGCUCCCAUUUGCCCACUCGCCCCCUUUGCCGGCGCAGUCACCAAGCCUGCAACAACCAACCACGCAGCACCCCUCCUCUGUAUAAAAGGAGCCCGAAAUCUGACUGGGGGAAGAUGGCUUGUGGAGACACUGGUCCGCCAUCUUCUCCGAAUAAAAAGUCGCUCUGCCUUGCCCCAGCAACUCGCCUCUCAGUUUACUGGCCUGUCGUGCAGCAAGCAGAGCGACCUUGGACUCUGUCAAUUUUGGCGAAGCCGGCCAGGAGCCUUGCUGCUUGUGGUCAGCCCCGCUUGGGGAAUUUUUGGGUAAAGCCCUAGCAGCUGCUGGGACCACCUGUCCUGAGGAUCUUCCCUUUAAAAUUCCCUGAAGCAGCACCAGAUGCCCCAGCACUUGGCAGUGGGAGCUCCGUACAGAUGGAAUCCACGGGCUCCAGACAGUAGGUGUGUCUGAUGUGUACAACUGGGAACACACCACCCUCUCAAUUUCGGCUUUUCCUGUAAGGGAACAGCCAAGUUGUUUUGCAUUUGACUGGGGUACCCUGUUGCAGAGGGGAAUUUUUGUUGCAACUCUGUGAACCAGUUUGUUUGCUUUUGUUUUGCAUUCAUUCACGAUGGAAUUUGUUUGUGCCUUUUGUGUUUUGUUGCUCUUGAACUUGUAUCUGUCCCUAAGGAAAGCCCUUUGGGGCGUAUCUUAAAUGAAUGGGCAAAGUAUAGUUAUGGGCCUGUGACUAAAAAGAGAUGAUAUUCUAUUGUAUAGCGUGUGGCCCCAGUAUAUGUUAGGAUCAGGAGAGCAAGGUGCCCUGCUCACUUACACAAUCUUGCAGUUAGAAUUGAGCAGGUAAAAAUGGUGAGAUUCCAUAUGUAGAAGCAUGUACGCUAUUGCAUCAUGAGGAAAAGAAGUGAGACAGCUGCUGCCUUAUGGUACGGUGGUCUGAAAGGAAAACCGGGGGAAAAUCUGUUCUACAAGAGGGAGAGGGAGAAAAUGAGACUGAGAACAUGUUAUUUCAAAACGCUGGCCAAGCAGGCUGCACCCGUGGUGGUUCCGACUGCCCCCAUGCCACCAACAUAUGCACUCCUUUCAGCACCUCCUGUUUCCCCUACUUCUGGGGAUCAAUUAGAAGUUUCUGUGUUAACCUCUGGGGCACAGGGGCCUAGUUUGUGUCACCAUCUGUGACCCAGGAGGGCGUCCCAUUUGACCAGGAGCCACUUCUGGAGCACGCAGCUUCCCUUGCACUGAUAUCCUGGAGAGGAGGCCUUAAUGCAGAUGGCCAAUCAGCUGGGUUUCUAUGGACGCGCCAUCCAUUCUCAAUUUGAUUUAACUGGAAAAACCAUAACCUACAUACCUCCACGUGACUGAACUUUUCACUUCUAUCUUUGCCACUCACCAUCCCUCGUGGGCGGACAUUUACACUUUUAUGAAUAUCAUGCUUACUGGGGAUGAAAGGAGGAUGCUCUUUGACAAGACUAGAGAGGAAGUGCACUAGCUCCAUCUAGCGGACCAGGUGGAACUCCAGAAGCAAAUCAGGCAGUUCCUACUGCUGAGCCUGACUGGGAACCUAAUAACGGAGAUAUGCCGCACCUAGAGCAUUACAGGAAGUGUAUCUCAGCGGGUCUUCGAAAGGCAGUAGCUAGGCAAAAGAGCUUCAACAAAAUUCAAGAGAUCAAGAGAUACACCAAAACCCAAUGAGGACCCAUCAGAGUUUCUAGAAAGAAUUUAUCAAGCUUAUAGGCACUACACUGGUGCAGACCCUGAGGCCCCCAAAAUACGGGAAUGGUAAAUAUGACCUUCAUUGGGCAAAGCGCCCCAGAUCUAAGAAGAAAAUUACAAAGCUAGAUGGUGCAUUUGGAAUGAACCCUUCUCAACUGGUAGAUGUUGUUUUUAAAGUGUUCACCAACAGGGAACAACGAAAGGAGCUCUUUGCAAGACUUAACGCCACUCAUCUGGUGCCAGCACUGGAUUCCCGGAAGGCGAGUAGCCUGGAGAGAGGUGAGCCCCAUUGGGGAGGGAACAGUGUGCUUACUGUAGGAGGAAGGGCACUGGGAAAGACUGCGCUCAUCUAAGGAAUAAGAAGGAAAACCACAAAAGAAAGACGGGAGCCUCUCCUAUGGUAGAGAGAGCGCAACGCUCUGAAGAUGAAUAAAGCGGCCCAGGGGCUCCCUUGGACUUGAGGUGUCCAAUUCCAAUUUCCCCACAGGAGCCCCGGGUAACUUUGACAGUGGGGAACAAGUUGAUUGACUUUCCGAUAGAUACCGGUGCAACAUACUCUGUGGUAAACAGCACGGUGGCACAGAAAACAUCUCAAUCCUUCCCAGUCACAGGAGUUUCUGGAGAAGGACAAAAUCUUUCGUUCCUAUAACCUCUAGAAUGCUAAUUAGGGACCUCACCCUGAAACGCAGUUUCUUAUAUAUGCCGGUAUGUCUAAUCAGUCCCUCUUUUGUAAAUUAAGCACUCAAGCAACUUUUUCGCCAGAACAGCCUGACAUCAGGGUCCCACAGGAGCACACUGUGAGCCUAAAGAUGGCGCCCACAGACACCCCAGAAAAGGAGACUGAGCUCUCACCCACUCCACCCCCAUUCCCCCCGCUCCAGGUCUGUGAAAAGCUAAGGCACAAGUGUGGGUCGAUAGCACCCUAGGGAAGGCCAAAAAUGCAUGGCCAAUACAAAUCAUGUUAAAAAGGGACUCUGGAGGGAAUUCCCUGGUGGUCCACUGGUUAGGACUCGGUGCUUUCAUCGCGGUAGCCUGGGUUCAAUUUCUGGUCAGGGAACUAAGAUCCCGAUCCCGCAAGCUGCACAGUGUGGCAAAAAAAAAGGGAUGCGCUGGGACACCUAAUCGAAAACAA